rnacentral:rRNA from 1 species
AACAAACGCUGGCGGCGUGCCUAACACAUGCAAGUCGUACGAGAAAGGGUCCUUCGGGGCCUGAGUAAAGUGGCGCACGGGUGAGUAACGCGUGGAUAAUCUGCCCUUCAGUUGGGAAUAACUCAUCGAAAGGUGGGCUAAUACCGAAUAAUGCUGUGAGACCUCGGUUGAUCAGCCAAAGAGAGCCUCUGCUUGCAAGCCCUCGCUGAAGGAUGAGUCCGCGUACCAUUAGCUAGUUGGUAGGGUAAUGGCCUACCAAGGCGACGAUGGUUAGCUGGUCUGAAAGGAUGAUCAGCCACACUGGAACUGAGACACGGUCCAGACUCCUACGGGGGGCAGCAGUGAGGAAUCUUGCGCAAUGGGGGCAACCCUGACGCAGCAACGCCGCGUGAGUGAGGAAGGUCUUCGGAUCGUAAAGCUCUGUCGGAUGGAAAGAACCGCAUAGGGGUAAACAGCCCCUGUGUCUGACGGUACCAUCAAAGGAAGCACCGGCUAACUCCGUGCCAGCCGCCGCGGUAACAC